CUCAACGUGGCUGAUGCUACCCUCAUUAUCAGCAACAACCAGGAGGAGGAGGAGGUGAAGGAGGAGGUGAAGGAGGAGGUGGAGGAGGAGGUGGAGGAGGAGGUGUUGGUAGAGUGCAGGGUGAGGUUUCUGUCCUUCAUGGGGGUAGGGAGGGACAUCCACUGCUUUGCCUUCAUCAUGGACGGAGGAGGACAACGCUACGAGUGUCACGUGUUCUGGUGUGAACCCAACGCUGGACAGCUCUCUGAAGCCGUACAGGCUGCGUGCAUGUUAAGGUAUCAGAAGUGCCUGUUGGCUCACCCCCCCUCCCAGAGAUCC